ACUAAAGCAGCCCCUGCCAGUGUCAUGACCCAAAUGAGAGCCUGGCCAGACUGCCCAGGGCUAGCUUCUCCAUUCCUCUCACAAGUCCAGUUUUGACAGGUUGUCAGAUUACUUUCAAAAAGGAGAUAAUCUUUCUCCAAAGGGUCAGUUGCUAAAUAUCCAAAAGAGAAGCCAUACAAGCAGGAUGGUUCCCAGAUUUCCUGGAAGCCGCAUACCCUGUGUCCACACCUGCUUUAACUCGGGUCCUCUCGUGGCAGGACUCCCACUGGAAUAGAAGCUUUCUGAGAGGUUCUGAUCGCCCUUAAGAAGCUCUGUGUGGCUGGAGGAUCGAAAACUUUGGGCACAAGCUGGAAGGUCAUUUACUGCAAACCACUAUCUCCCAGCUAAUCUGUUUGGAGGCAGUGGAUCCGGACACACACGCCAGUCUUCCCUGAGUGGGUUUCAAGGAGAAAAGCACCAGAGGGAAUAAUCUCCUAGGUUAAGGUCUCCUGUGCCCCUAGUUGCCUCAUCUAUCAGAAACUUCUCCUCCCAACAUAAAUACUAACAACUCAAUAGCCAACACCAGGCUGCAUAUUUCCUCUGCAGGCCCUGAAAUAUUAAAGAUGAAGAAACCAAAGUGCAGAGAAGUUUCAAAAUUUGCCUAAGGACAUAGCUAAUGAAUAGCAGGGCUAGGAUUAUGAACCGAGAUAUUCUGGGUCCACAGUCCCUGCCUGUAACCACUAUUCAACUCUGCCUUUACUAGGAACAUGGCAAGUUACUCAUAGAAUCCUAAAACUGUUACAGCUCCUUGAACAUCAUCUAAACUAAUUUUACAAAUAAAAAGACUGAGGCCAGAGAGAGGAAGUGAUUGGCUGAAAGUAACCCAGCAGGAUGGCUCUCCAACCCCAGAUCCUGACUUCACCCACCUCUGCGUGAGCAUGUUAGGGUCUGGAGCAUCUCUGCUGGAGACUGGUCCUGCCUAGUGCAGGCCCCCUCUUGAAAAUACACAGAAUUCUGGAUGUUGCAUACAUGGGAAAUUGUGAACAUGGAGCUCAGAGCUCAGCUUGCAAGAAAGAAGGGGAUGUCCCAAUGCCAGAUACAGAGAUAGUUGGAAAUAUGAGUGGGAAACUCCCAAGCAGAUGCCAGGAUAGCUGCAGAUUCUACAUCACCAUGGUGAUUCUGCUUUUCCGAGGAAAAGACAAAGAAAAUCUGUUUGGUAGGUCUGGGAUAAGAUAAUAUUUUCAUAUAUUAGCUGUAUUUUUUUUUAGCUAUUUCAUUAUUUUCCGUGAUACCUCUUCCUCAUCCAACCAGAUUGUUAAGUAAGGUUGGCUGCAGAAGAAAAGAGGAAAAAAGGUUUUUUUAACUUGUGGUAAAAUAUUCAUAACAUAAAAUUUACCAUUUUACCCAUUUUUAAGUGUACAGCUCUAUGGCAUUAAGUACUUUCACAUUGUUGUGCAAAAGUUCUCCAGAACAUGCUCAUCUUCCCAAACCAAAACUGUGUAACCAUUAAAGAUGAACUCCCCAUUCCCUUCCCCAACUGGCAGCCGCCAUUCUACUGUCUGUCUUAUGCAUUUGACCACUCUAGGUACUUCGUGGAAGUGGAAUCAUAUAAUAUUUGUCCUUUUAUAUGUGGCUCAUUUAACUUAGCAUAAUGUUUUCAAGAGUCAUCUAUGUUGUAGCAUCU
rnacentral:lncRNA from 10 species